rnacentral:rRNA from 1 species
UCCCAGUUCGGACUGGAGUCUGCAACCCGACUCCACGAAGUUGGAUUCGCUAGUAAUCGCGCAUCAGCCAUGGCGCGGUGAAUACGUUCCCGGGCCCUUGUACACACCGCCCGUCAAGCCAUGGGAGCCGGGGGCGCCUGAAGUCCGGGACCGCGAGGACCGGCCUAGGGCGAAACUGGUAACUGGGGCUAAGUCGUAACAAGGUACC